AUUGAACGCUGGCGGCAGGCUAAACACAUGCAAGUCGAACGCCCCGCAAGGGGAGUGGCAGACGGGUGAGUAACGCGUGGGAAUCUACCCAAUUCUACGGAACAACACAGGGAAACUUGUGCUAAUACCGUAUACGCCCUACGGGGGAAAGAUUUAUCGGAAUUGGAUGAGCCCGCGUGGGAUUAGCUAGUUGGUGGGGUAAUGGCCUACCAAGGCGACGAUCCAUAGCUGGCCUGGGAGGAUGAUCAGCCACAAUGGUACUGAGACACGGCCCAGACUGCUGCGGUGAGCAGCACUGGGUAAUAUUGUACAAUGGGCGUACGCCUGCUCCGGCCAUUCCGCGUGAAUGAUGAAGGCCUUAGGGUUGUAAAGCUCUUUCAGUGAGGAAUAUAAUGUCGGUACCCACAUAAGAAGCCCCGGCUAACUUCGUGCCAGCAGCCGCCGCUG
rnacentral:rRNA from 1 species